rnacentral:rRNA from 1 species
UACGGAGGGUGCGAGCGUUGUCCGGAAUCACUGGGCGUAAAGGGCGCGUAGGCGGCUCGCCACGCGUGCGGUGAAAGUCUGGGGCUCAACCCCGGAUCGGCCGUGCGGACGGGCGGGCUAGAGCACAGUAGAGGCGGGUGGAAUUCCGGGUGUAGCGGUGGAAUGCGUAGAGAUCCGGAAGAACACCAGUGGCGAAGGCGGCCCGCUGGGCUGUGGCUGACGCUGAGGCGCGACAGCGUGGGGAGCAAACAGG